rnacentral:tRNA from 1 species
GGAGAGAUGGCCGAGUGGCUUAAGGCGCACCCCUGCUAAGGGUGAAUAGGUUAAACACCUAUCGAGGGUUCGAAUCCCUCUCUCUCCGCCA